rnacentral:rRNA from 1 species
UACGUAGGUGGCAAGCGUUGUCCGGAAUUAUUGGGCGUAAAGCGCGCGCAGGCGGUCUUUUAAGUCUGAUGUGAAAGCCCACGGCUCAACCGUGGAGGGUCAUUGGAAACUGGAGGACUUGAGUACAGAAGAGGGAAGUGGAAUUCCAUGUGUAGCGGUGAAAUGCGUAGAGAUAUGGAGGAGCACCAGUGGCGAAGGCGGCUUCCUGGUCUGUAACUGACACUGAGGCGCGAAAGCGUGGGGAGCAAACAGG